AUAGGAGUAUAAAGUGAAAUCUGUUCCAGUUACCCUAAAACGUUACAAUUUCACAUGAAAAGCCUAUUUGGAUUUGAAUGAAGAAAACAAAAAAAAAACCAGAAGCCCGGAGUUAACGUCAUUGUUUGUAUUUUGUUGUUUUGUUACUGUUUCCCGUCAAAGUGGAAAAACGUUUCAUCCAAAAAUCUAACGGCCUACUAUCUACAAAGUUACUGGUUUAAAUGGCAGCAAAAAAAUGUGGAACGCUUCACGAUUUUGCGUGUCAUCCUUGCGCAGGGGCCAUGCUAAUCUUCUCUGUAUCGUUCCAAUUUUAGUAUAUGUUCUGCCGAAGCAAGAACGAAAACUACUGAGGAGAAGGUUACAUUUAUUUCACACUUGUGGCAAAUAAACACUUGAGAAUUAUAACGAGCACUUACCUGAGUGAACCCUCAAUUGGUCCAA